rnacentral:rRNA from 1 species
CAUCGGAACGUACCCUGUUGUGGGGGAUAACUAGUCGAAAGAUUAGCUAAUACCGCAUACGACCUGAGGGUGAAAGCGGGGGACCGCAAGGCCUCGCGCAGCAGGAGCGGCCGAUGUCUGAUUAGCUAGUUGGUGGGGUAAAGGCCCACCAAGGCGACGAUCAGUAGCUGGUCUGAGAGGACGAUCAGCCACACUGGGACUGAGACACGGCCCAGACUCCUACGGGAGGCAGCAGUGGGGAAUUUUGGACAAUGGGGGCAACCCUGAUCCAGCAAUGCCGCGUGUGUGAAGAAGGCCUUCGGGUUGUAAAGCACUUUUGUCCGGAAAGAAAACGCUCUGGUUAAUACCUGGGGCGGAUGACGGUACCGGAAGAAUAAGCACCGGCUAACUACGUGCCAGCAGCCGCGGUAAUACGUAGGGUGCGAGCGUUAAUCGGAAUUACUGGGCGUAAAGCGUGCGCAGGCGGUUUUGUAAGACAGGCGUGAAAUCCCCGAGCUCAACUUGGGAAUUGCGCUUGUGACUGCAAGGCUAGAGUAUGUCAGAGGGGGGUAGAAUUCCACGUGUAGCAGUGAAAUGCGUAGAGAUGUGGAGGAAUACCGAUGGC